UUGUCUCAAAGAUUAAGCCAUGCAUGUCUCAGUACAAGCCAAAUUAAGGUGAAACCGCGAAAGGCUCAUUAAAUCAGUUAUGGUUCCUUAGAUCGUACCAACAAUUACUUGGAUAACUGUGGUAAUUCUACAGCUAACACAUGCACACAGAGCUCCGACCGGAAACGGAAGGAGUGCUUUUGUUAGUACAAAAUCAAUCGGCGGCACGUUCGCUUGCGGACGCGUCGUCGUACAAAUUGAUGAAUCUAAAUAACUUUCUGCUGAUCGCACGGUCUAGCACCGGCGACGCAUCUUUCAAAUGUCUGCCUUAUCAACUGUCGAUGGUAGGUUCUGUGCCUACCAUGGUUGUAACGGGUAACGGGGAAUCAGGGUUCGAUUCCGGAGAGGGAGCCUGAGAAACGGCUACCACAUCCAAGGAAGGCAGCAGGCGCGCAAAUUACCCACUCCCGGCACGGGGAGGUAGUGACGAAAAAUAACGAUACGGGACUCAUCCGAGGCCCCGUAAUCGGAAUGAGAACAAUUUAAAUCCUUUAACGAGGAUCAAUUGGAGGGCAAGUCUGG
rnacentral:rRNA from 1 species